rnacentral:sRNA from 1 species
GGGGUGCUCACAUGCUGCAGGUUCCUUACAUGUGCUUGUUUCCUUCCCUAAACUGAAGGUAACUUUGAAGGCAGUCUUUUUCCACAUCCAUCAAGUGCUCUGGGGAAGAACACUUCUUAGCUAUUCCAUCAACACUCUUGCCAGUCUAAUCUCACCAUCAGUUUCCCCUGGCCUGCCCUUUGUCUGAAACUUUGAAGGUUAGCAAUUUGGAGAGCUAUCAGAGUGGAAGCAUGGGUUGGAAUGGUAAUGGCAUUGAAUGUCUUCAUGUGUUUUACUUUUUUCAGGUCUUAUCGAAUGUUACUUAGCCUCCAACAGUAUUCGAGAAGCAAUGGUAAUGGCUAACAACGUUUACAAAACUCUGGGAGCAAAUGCACAGACCCUUACCCUUUUAGCCACUGUUUGUCUUGAAGACCCAGUGACACAGGAGAAAGCCAAAACAUUAUUAGAUAAAGCCCUGACCCAAAGGCCAGAUUACAUUAAGGCUGUGGUGAAAAAAGCAGAACUACUUAGCAGGGAACAGAAAUACGAAGAUGGAAUUGCUUUGCUGAGGAACGCACUGGCUAAUCAGAGUGACUGUGUCCUGCAUCGGAUCCUAGGAGAUUUCCUUGUAGCUGUCAAUGAGUAUCAGGAGGCAAUGGACCAGUAUAGUAUAGCACUAAGUUUGGACCCCAAUGACCAGAAGUCUCUAGAGGGGAUGCAGAAGAUGGAGAAGGAGGAGAGUCCCACGGAUGCCACUCAGGAGGAGGAU